CGCGCGGGGCCGCUUUAGUGUUUUUUCCCCUCAGUCCCGCGCGCUAAAGGAGCAGGUAAUCUCUUCCGGCGCAGGAAGCGUCCCCACAUCCGAGCCCACUGAUGCGGUUAACCCGCGGGCUGCGUUCAAAGCGCAGCGGAGUUUAGAUCAAAACAGGCGCUGGAGGAGGACAUGUGUAGAAGAAGGUCGGUGAUGAUGAGGGUAUCUUUUCAUCCAACCCGCGCGGGUAAUUACCUCUUUAGCACGCGGGCCGCCGCGGUGUGUAUAAAUACAGAGCGCGCGCUCAGCAGCAGCAGCAGCAGGAGACACUGAUGAAUGAAGACACGCCGCUGUGACCCUGCUCUGCUGCUGCUCUGCUGUAUAACACUGUGACAUUUACUGAGCAGAGCUGAGACUGCAGUGUGUAGAUCUGAGGGUCAGACAUGUGGACGCUGUUCUGUGCUCUUUUCCUCGCCGUGACCUCCGCUGUUCACUGCCUGGACUCCAACAUCAUCCGCUCCUCUAAAGAAAUCAUGGAUUCUCCGCAGACAGCGCCCACCUCACAGAGGGAGACUGUAGAUGUGAGCGCCCAUAACACCAUGAGACGGAGGCAGAAUCGACAAGACAGAGUGGAGUGCUCUCUGGAACAGGUAAAUGAAUGCAGAGGGUCAAAAAAGAGACCGAGUCAGAGUGGUAAGAUUAAGCUGUCCCCAGUAGACACCAGCAGGAGCAAAGUUCCCGAGAUGGGUGAGUGUCUGCGAUCACGUGACUGUGAGGUGGGCCUAUGCUGUGCUCAGUAUCUUACCGGACGGCGGUGCCAGCGUAUUCCCAAAGAGGGAGAAGUCUGUCUUUUGCGGGGCCGAUCCAAAAAGAGGCGAAACCUGGACCGAUGUGAUUGUGAAGCAAAGCUGCACUGCAGAGCUCAGAAACAGAGCGUGCGGGGACAGGGGGUCUGUCACGCUUAACCCUUUCACACCAGGGACUUUUUGAGAUACGGAGAACAAAUCUAAUUCCAAUCUAAUAUCAAAUACACAGACGCUUCCCAAUAGUAUUAGCUAGAGGGCGCUCAGGAGACUGCAAAUACAGCCCCAUUUUUUUUUUAUUAAUUAAAUGAACAUAUAGAUUUGCACUAAGGCUGGGUGCAGCAGCAUAAGCAUUAGCAGCUAACCGCUUGUGCUUGCUGUGGUUAGUGGCUUAACGCCACACGACAGCGCUACACUGAGGAACCCUGAUGUGCCAGUAAGCCGGGGCGAUAUUAACUAGCGGUUCGACUCACGUAGCUUGUUUUGACAUGAAAAACACGCAGGCUUCAGACCAAUAAUACUGGCUCAGAACAGUGAAAGAGCUAGCGCUUAGCGCAUAAUACUUAUGUUGCUUCAGCAGUGCUAGCUGCGGUUAGCAGCGGAGUGCGGACGAUAAUACUCACCUUUGAACAGAAAAAAGCUAGCGGUUAGCGGCUAAUACUGCUUCAGGCUCGGUGCUGGAGAACUAAACUGAAACUCCUGUAUAAUGCUGUACUUCAGCCGAGUGCCUUUACUGCUCCUUACAACCUGACUGGCAAAAUUCAUACAUAAGGCACACAUUUAAGUAUUUUAGGUGCGUCUUACAGUGUGAGAAAUACGCCAUAUAUAUUUAUACAUAUCCACUUAUUCAAUCCACAGCAGUAGCCCCACCCAUUUACACAUUAAAGAGGUCAUUUACAUAUAACAGUCAUAACGGCACAGUAACAAAAAAGGUAUUUUUAACUAUAAUGGAUAAAAGAAGAUUGAAAUAGUGUUGUGUAGGAAUAAAUGAUAACUGUAAUUGAUUCA
rnacentral:lncRNA from 1 species